rnacentral:rRNA from 1 species
CCUACGGGUGGCAGCAGUGGGGAAUAUUGGGCAAUGGAGGAAACUCUGACCCAGCAACGCCGCGUGCAUGAUGAAGGUCUUCGGAUUGUAAAGUUCUUUUCUAAGGGAAGAAGAAAGUUACGGUACCUUAGGAAUAAGCCUCGGCUAACUACGUGCCAGCAGCCGCGGUAAUACGGAGGUGGCAAUAGUUGUCCUGAUUUACUGGGUGUAAAGGGCGUGUAGGCGGGCUGACAAGUCAGAUGUGAAAUCCGGGGGCUCAACACCCGAGCUGCAUAUGAAACUGUUGGUCUUGAGUAUCGGAGAGGCAGGCGGAAUUCCUAGUGUAGCGGUGAAAUGCAUAGAUAUUAGGAGGAACACCAGUGGCGAAGGCGGCCUGCUGGACGACAACUGACGGUGAGGCGCGAAAGCGUGGGGAGCGAACAGGAUUAGAUACCCGGGUAGUC